GACGAACGCUGGCGGCGUGCUUAACACAUGCAAGUCGAACGGAAAGGCCCUGCUUUUGUGGGGUGCUCGAGUGGCGAACGGGUGAGUAACACGUGAGUAACCUGCCCUUGACUUUGGGAUAACUUCAGGAAACUGGGGCUAAUACCGGAUAGGAGCUCCUGCUGCAUGGUGGGGGUUGGAAAGUGUCGGCGGUUGGGGAUGGAAUCGCGGCUUAUCAGCUUGUUGGUGGGGUAGUGGCUUACCAAGGCUUUGACGGGUAGCCGGCCUGAGAGGGUGACCGGCCACAUUGGGACUGAGAUACGGCCCAGACUCCUACGGGAGGCAGCAGUGGGGAAUAUUGCACAAUGGGCGGAAGCCUGAUGCAGCAACGCCGCGUGCGGGAUGACGGCCUUCGGGUUGUAAACCGCUUUCGCCUGUGACGAAGCGUGAGUGACGGUAAUGAGUAAAGAAGCACCGGCUAACUACGUG
rnacentral:rRNA from 1 species